GGUGGCUCAGUGGUAGAGCACGUGCCUUACGUGCAUGAGGCCCUGAGUUCAAUUCCUCGGCACCA
rnacentral:tRNA from 1 species